CAAGUAUUUGCCUCCAGGGUGCUGCUGGCAGUGCUAGGAGUUGCAAGGUGCACUCUUGUCCUCGUGUCAGGACCUGUGUGGACCCAGGGGGCCACCAACUGAAGGACGGGGACAGUCCUAUUGUCCCAAAGCAUUCCACGUGAACAAGACUCAAGAUUUUCCUCUAGGAUUGCUCAGUAUUUAACUCCAUCCACCGACCCAUCAAUUCUAACAAGGAUCCCUACAGUAAAUGACGGCCUCUACAAUGUUUUAAGUUGGGGGUGAUGGGCAGAGUGGCCUUUUUGGCACCCACAGCAUUUUGCAUAUCGAUUCAUCUUCCCUUUGGCUCUGAGGAGCUUCCCUGUUCCUACUCAAGAAAACAGUCCCCACAGCAUGAUGCAGCCACCACCAUGUUUUUCAGCCUUUCUAAGAUAGUUGCUGUAUUUACACACAAGAACACAGAAAUGAAUUUUAUUUUCGGGUCCCGUGACAUCUGUAUGUUUCCC